GCGCAGCUUACACAUGCAGUCGAGCGGAGUGAUGGUGCUUGCACUAUCACUUAGCGGCGGACGGGUGAGUAAUGCUUAGGAUCUGCCUAUUAGUGGGGGACAACAUUUCGAAAGGAAUGCUAAUACCGCAUACGUCCUACGGGAGAAAGCAGGGGAUCUUCGGACCUUGCGCUAAUAGAUGAGCCUAAGUCGGAUUAGCUAGUUGGUGGGGUAAAGGCCUACCAAGGCGACGAUCUGUAGCGGGUCUGAGAGGAUGAUCCGCCACACUGGGACUGAGACACGGCCCAGACUCCUACGGGAGGCAGCAGUGGGGAAUAUUGGACAAUGGGCGAAAGCCUGAUCCAGCCAUGCCGCGUGUGUGAAGAAGGCCUUAUGGUUGUAAAGCACUUUAAGCGAGGAGGAGGCUACUGAAGUUAAUACCUUCAGAUAGUGGACGUUACUCGCAGAAUAAGCACCGGCUAACUCUGUGCCAGCAGCCGCGGUAAUACAGAGGGUGCAAGCGUUAAUCGGAUUUACUGGGCGUAAAGCGCGCGUAGGCGGCUAAUUAAGUCAAAUGUGAAAUCCCCGAGCUUAACUUGGGAAUUGCAUUCGAUACUGGUUAGCUAGAGUGUGGGAGAGGAUGGUAGAAUUCCAGGUGUAGCGGUGAAAUGCGUAGAGAUCUGGAGGAAUACCGAUGGCGAAGGCAGCCAUCUGGCCUAACACUGACGCUGAGGUGCGAAAGCAUGGGGAGCAAACAGGAUUAGAUACCCUGGUAGUCCAUGCCGUAAACGAUGUCUACUAGCCGUUGGGGCCUUUGAGGCUUUAGUGGCGCAGCUAACGCGAUAAGUAGACCGCCUGGGGAGUACGGUCGCAAGACUAAAACUCAAAUGAAUUGACGGGGGCCCGCACAAGCGGUGGAGCAUGUGGUUUAAUUCGAUGCAACGCGAAGAACCUUACCUGGCCUUGACAUAGUAAGAACUUUCCAGAGAUGGAUUGGUGCCUUCGGGAACUUACAUACAGGUGCUGCAUGGCUGUCGUCAGCUCGUGUCGUGAGAUGUUGGGGUUAAGUCCCGCAACGAGCGCAACCCUUUUCCUUAUUUGCCAGCGAGUAAUGUCGGGAACUUUAAGGAUACUGCCAGUGACAAACUGGAGGAAGGCGGGGACGACGUCAAGUCAUCAUGGGCCCUUACGGCCAGGG
rnacentral:rRNA from 1 species